rnacentral:lncRNA from 1 species
AGCCCAAUACUAUGAAGACUUCAAUUCCAGCAAGAUACAACAAGGACAAUGAAGAGAAUGAAGAUGAAGAAUACCAACCAAUGAGUAAGAGAAAGAACUCCAUGAGCCAUACAAGGCAGCAAGAGGUGCAUGAAGGCUCAUCGUCUUUACAAGAAAGAAGAUAUCCAAGACGUGAGAGAAGACCACAAGGUGAAUGGUGGAAGAAUCACAUCU